GCCGGGCGUGGUGGUGCAUGCCUGUAAUCCCAGCUACCUGGAAGGCUGAGGCAGGAGAAUCGCUUGAACCUGGGAGGCUGCAAUGAGCCGAGAUCGCGUCACUGCACUCCAGUCUGGGACAGAGUGUAGCCUCCAUCUCAAAAAAAAAAAAAAAAAAAAAAGAAUCUCGCUCUGUUUGCACUCCAGUCUGGGACAGAGUGAGCCUCCGUCUCAAAAAAAAAAAAAAAAAAAAAAAAAGAGUCUCGCUCUGUCCCAGGCUGGAGUGCAGUGGUAUGAUCUCAGCUCAUUGCAGCGUCCACCUCCUGGGUUCAAGUGAUUCUCCUGCCUCAG
rnacentral:SRP_RNA from 1 species